rnacentral:rRNA from 1 species
UACGAAGGGGGCUAGCGUUGUUCGGAAUCACUGGGCGUAAAGGGCGCGUAGGCGGCUUUUCAAGUCGGGGGUGAAAGCCUGUGGCUCAACCACAGAAUUGCCCUUCGAUACUGUUAGGCUUGAGACCGGAAGAGGUGAGUGGAACUGCGAGUGUAGAGGUGAAAUUCGUAGAUAUUCGCAAGAACACCAGUGGCGAAGGCGGCUCACUGGUCCGGUUCUGGACGCUGAGGCGCGAAAGCGUGGGGAGCAAACAGG